GGACGGGUGAGUAACGCGUGAGAAUCUGCCCUCAGGAGGGGGAUAACGGUUGGAAACGACCGCUAAUACCCCAUAUGCCGCGAGGUGAAAUGAAUUUCGCCUGAGGAUGAGCUCGCGUCUGAUUAGCUAGUUGGUGGGGUAAGAGCCUACCAAGGCUUCGAUCAGUAGCUGGUCUGAGAGGAUGAUCAGCCACACUGGGACUGAGACACGGCCCAGACUCCUACGGGAGGCAGCAGUGGGGAAUUUUCCGCAAUGGGCGAAAGCCUGACGGAGCAACGCCGCGUGAGGGAUGAAGGCCUCUGGGCUGUAAACCUCUUUUAUCAAGGAAGAAGAUCUGACGGUACUUGAUGAAUAAGCCACGGCUAAUUCCGUGCCAGCAGCCGCGGUAAUACGGGAGUGGCAAGCGUUAUCCGGAAUUAUUGGGCGUAAAGCGUCCGCAGGCGGUCUUACAAGUCUGUCGUUAAAGCGUGGAGCUUAACUCCAUUUCGGCGAUGGAAACUGUAAGACUAGAGUGUGGUAGGGGCAGAGGGAAUUCCCGGUGUAGCGGUGAAAUGCGUAGAUAUCGGGAAGAACACCAGUGGCGAAGGCGCUCUGCUGGGCCAUAACUGACGCUCAUGGACGAAAGCUAGGGGAGCGAAAGGGAUUAGAUACCCCUGUAGUCCUAGCCGUAGACGAUGAACACUAGGUGUCGGGGGAAUCGACCCCCUCGGUGUCGUAGCCAACGCGUUAAGUGUUCCGCCUGGGGAGUACGCACGCAAGUGUGAAACUCAAAGGAAUUGACGGGGGCCCGCACAAGCGGUGGAGUAUGUGGUUUAAUUCGAUGCAACGCGAAGAACCUUACCAGGGUUUGACAUCCUGCGAAUCCCUUGGAAACUUGGGAGUGCCUUCGGGAGCGCAGUGACAGGUGGUGCAUGGCUGUCGUCAGCUCGUGUCGUGAGAUGUUGGGUUAAGUCCCGCAACGAGCGCAACCCACGUCUUUAGUUGCCAGCAUUUAGUUGGGCACUCUAGAGAGACCGCCGGUGAUAAACCGGAGGAAGGUGUGGAUGACGUCAAGUCAUCAUGCCCCUUACAUCCUGGGCUACACACGUACUACAAUGCUACGGACAAAGGGCAGCAAACUCGCGAGAGCUAGCCAAUCCCAUAAACCGUGGCUCAGUUCAGAUCGUAGGCUGCAACUCGCCUACGUGAAGGAGGAAUCGCUAGUAAUCGCAGGUCAGCAUACUGCGGUGAAUACGUUCCCGGGCCUUGUACACACCGCCCGUCACACCAUGGAAGUUGGCCACGCCCGAAGUCGUUACUCCAACCCUUGUGGAGGAGGAUGCCGAAGGUGGGGCUGAUGACUGGGGUGAAGUCGUAACAAGGUAGCCGUACCGGAAGGUGCGGCUGGAUCACCUCCU
rnacentral:rRNA from 1 species